GGCGAAUGAAGAGAGAAAAGCUCAAUCUUAAAAUCUGUAGGCUCUUUUUGUCUACCGAAUUGUAGUUUUAAAAUUUGUAUUUUAGAGGCUUUCUAAAUUGAAGAAGUGGAAAACACGAAUUUCCUAUCAUUGAGGGUGAGAAUCCCGUUAAUUUCUUUUUAGAUUGUUUCAUUAUUAAAAUAUAUUUUUACGAGUCGAGUUGUUUGGGAAUGCAGCUCUAAUAAGGUGAUAGAUUUCAUCUAAAGCUAAAUAUUGCAAGAAGACCGAUAGCACAAAAGUACUGUGAAGGAAAGGUGAAAAGAACUUUGAAAAAAGAGUUAAACAGUACGUGAAAUUGUUGAAAGGGAAGCGCUUGCAACCAGACUUGCGCGCGGCCGAUCAUCCGGUGUUCUCACCGGUGCACUCGGCCGUGCUCAGGCCAGCAUCGGUUUUGGCGGCUGGAUAAAGGCCCUAGGAAUGUAGCUCCUCUCGGGGAGUGUUAUAGCCUAGGGUGCAAUGCAGCCUGCUGGGACCGAGGACCGCGCUUCGGCUAGGAUG
rnacentral:rRNA from 1 species